AGAGUUUGAUCCUGGCUCAGAUUGAACGCUGGCGGCAUGCCUUACACAUGCAAGUCGAACGGCAGCACGGGGGCAACCCUGGUGGCGAGUGGCGAACGGGUGAGUAAUAUAUCGGAACGUGCCCUGGAGUGGGGGAUAACUAGUCGAAAGACUAGCUAAUACCGCAUACGAUCUAUGGAUGAAAGUGGGGGAUCGCAAGACCUCAUGCUCGUGGAGCGGCCGAUAUCUGAUUAGCUAGUUGGUAGGGUAAAAGCCUACCAAGGCAUCGAUCAGUAGCUGGUCUGAGAGGACGACCAGCCACACUGGGACUGAGACACGGCCCAGACUCCUACGGGAGGCAGCAGUGGGGAAUUUUGGACAAUGGGGGCAACCCUGAUCCAGCAAUGCCGCGUGAGUGAAGAAGGCCUUCGGGUUGUAAAGCUCUUUUGUCAGGGAAGAAACGGUUCGGGCUAAUAUCCUGGGCUAAUGACGGUACCUGAAGAAUAAGCACCGGCUAACUACGUGCCAGCAGCCGCGGUAAUACGUAGGGUGCAAGCGUUAAUCGGAAUUACUGGGCGUAAAGCGUGCGCAGGCGGUUGUGCAAGACAGAUGUGAAAUCCCCGGGCUUAACCUGGGAAUUGCAUUUGUGACUGCACGGCUAGAGUGUGU
rnacentral:rRNA from 1 species